GGCUCUGUAGUUCAGGGGUUAGAGCACUGGCCUCAUAAACCAGGGGGUCAUGAGUUCAAAUCUCAUCAGAGCCU